rnacentral:rRNA from 1 species
GAUGAACGCUAGCGGCAGGCCUAACACAUGCAAGUCGAGGGGUAGCAGGAUUAAGCUUGCUUAAUUGCUGACGACCGGCGCACGGGUGCGUAACGCGUAUGCAACCUACCUUAUACUGGGGUAUAGCCCGGAGAAAUUCGGAUUAAUCCCCCAUAGUACUAAUGAAUCGCAUGGUUAAUUAGUUAAAGCAUUGCGGUAUAAGAUGGGCAUGCGUCCUAUUAGCUAGAUGGUGAGGUAACGACUCACCAUGGCUACGAUAGGUAGGGGGCCUGAGAUGGUUGUCCCCCAGACUGGUACUGAGACACGGACCAGACUCCUACGGGAGGCAGCAGUUGGGAAUAUUGGUCAAUGGGCGCAAGCCUGAACCAGCCAUGCCGCGUGCAGGAAGAAUGCCCUAUGGGUUGUAAACUGCUUUUAUUUGGGAAUAAACCUCUUUACGUGUAGAGAGCUGAAGGUACCAAAUGAAUAAGCACCGGCUAACUCCGUGCCAGCAGCCGCGGUAA